rnacentral:rRNA from 1 species
AGAGUUUGAUCCUGGCUCAGAUUGAACGCUAGCGGGAUGCCUUACACAUGCAAGUCGAACGGCAGCACGGACUUCGGUCUGGUGGCGAGUGGCGAACGGGUGAGUAAUGUAUCGGAACGUGCCCAGUAGCGGGGGAUAACUACGCGAAAGCGUAGCUAAUACCGCAUACGCCCUACGGGGGAAAGCAGGGGAUCGCAAGACCUUGCACUAUUGGAGCGGCCGAUAUCGGAUUAGCUAGUUGGUGGGGUAACGGCUCACCAAGGCGACGAUCCGUAGCUGGUUUGAGAGGACGACCAGCCACACUGGGACUGAGACACGGCCCAGACUCCUACGGGAGGCAGCAGUGGGGAAUUUUGGACAAUGGGGGAAACCCUGAUCCAGCCAUCCCGCGUGUGCGAUGAAGGCCUUCGGGUUGUAAAGCACUUUUGGCAGGAAAGAAACGUCAUGGGUUAAUACCCCGUGAAACUGACGGUACCUGCAGAAUAAGCACCGGCUAACUACGUGCCAGCAGCCGCGGUAAUACGUAGGGUGCAAGCGUUAAUCGGAAUUACUGGGCGUANAGCGUGCGCAGGCGGUUCGGAGAGAAAGAUGUGAAAUCCCAGAGCUUAACUUUGGAACUGCAUUUUUAACUACCGGGCUAAAGUGUGUCAGAGGGGAGGUGGAAUUCCGCGUGUAGCAGUGAAAUGCG